rnacentral:rRNA from 1 species
AACAUGGUGUAGACCCGAAACCGCAGUGAUCUAUCCAUGGUCAGGUUGAAGCGCAGGUAAAAAUGCGUGGAGGACCGAACCCGUGAGUGUUGAAAAACUUUGGGAUGAACCGUGGAUAGGGGUGAAAUGCCAAUCGAACGCGGAGAUAGCUGGUACUCCCCGAAAUAGCUUUAGGGCUAGCCUCAGGGAAGAUUAUAGACGGUAGAGCACUGAUCUGGCAAGGGGGCGUAAAGCCUACCGACCCUAGUCAAACUUCGAAUGGCUAUAAUUAAGACCCUGGGAGUCAGACUGCGAGUGAUAAGACCCGUAGUCAAGAGGGAAACAGCCCAGACCGCCGACUAAGGUCCCCAAUGCUGUACUAAGUGGAAAAGGAUGUAAGACUUCAUAAACAACCAGGAUGUUGGCUUAGAAGCAGCCACCAUUAAAAGAGUGCGUAAUAGCUCACUGGUCGAGAGGCCUUGCGCCGAAGAUGUCCGGGGCUCAAGUACAGAACCGAAGUCGCGGCAGGAUUUAUAAUUCUGGGUAGGGGAGCGUUGUAUAUCCGACUGAAGGUGUACCGGAAGGAGCGCUGGAGGAUAUACAAGAGAGAAUGCCGGUAUGAGUAGCGAAAAGAACAGUGAGAAUCUGUUCCACCGAAAGCCUAAGGUUUCCUGAGCAACGCUCGUCGACUCAGGGUAAGUCGGGACCUAAGCCGAGGCAAAAAGCAUAGGCGAUGGACAACAGGUUAAUAUUCCUGUACCGCUUCAAAUCGUUUGAGCAAUGGAGUGACACAGAAGGUAGCUUGAGCACGCGAAUGGAUGUGCGUGUCGAAGGUGGUAGGUUGCAGUAUAGGCAAAUCCGUACUGUAUAAGACCGAGAACUGAUAGAUAGACGAUACUUCGGUAAAGUCAAAUUCAAGUGAGCCAUGCUGUCGAGAAAAGCUUCUAGUGAGAGAUGAGGCGCCCGUACCGCAAACCGACACAGGUAGGCGGGGAGAGAAUCCUAAGGUGCGCGGGACAACCCUCGUUAAGGAACUCGGCAAAUUGUAUCCGUAACUUAGGGAUAAGGAUAGCCGGAGGAUGUGAAGGGAUUUACUUCUGGAGCGUCAGCCGGUGGCACAAGAGAGGCCCAAGCGACUGUUUAGCACAAACACAGGUGCCUGCAAAAGAGAAAUCUGACGUAUAGGUGCUGACACCUGCCCGGUGCUGGAAGGUUAAGAGGAGGGCUUAGAGGCAACUCGAAGGCUUGAAUUGAAGCCCCAGUAAACGGCGGCCGUAACUAUAACGGUCCUAAGGUAGCGAAAUUCCUUGUCGGGUAAGUUCCGACCCGCACGAAAGGGGUAACGACUUGGGCACUGUCUCAACGAGGGACCCGGUGAAAUUGAAGUACCUGUGAAGAUGCAGGUUACCCGCGACUGGACAGAAAGACCCCAUGGAGCUUUACUGCAACCUGACAUUGAUGUUCGGUAAAUAACGUACAGGAUAGGUGGGAGACGGAGAAGUAUUGGCGUUAGCUGAUAUGGAGUCAACCUUGGGAUACCACCCUUUAUUUAUUGGACCUCUAACUGAAGAAGUAACGACUCUCAGGACAGUAUCAGGCGGGCAGUUUGACUGGGGCGGUCGCCUCCCAAAAUGUAACGGAGGCGCCCAAAGGUUCCCUCAGCGCGAACGGAAACCGCGCAAAGAGUGUAAAGGCAGAAGGGAGCUUGACUGCGAGUCAGACACGACGAGCAGGUACGAAAGUAGGGCUUAGUGAUCCGGUG